GUGAGUUUUAGGUCAGUUUUAGGUCAGUUUGGGAUCAGUUUUGGGUCAGUUAUAUGUGAGUUUUAGGUCAGUUUGGGGUCCGUUUUUGGUCAGUUAUAUGUGAGUUUUAGGUCAGUUUUGGGUCAGUUUUUGGUCAGUUAUAUGUGAGUUUUAGGUCAGUUUUUGGUCAGUUAUAUGUGAGUUUUAGGUCAGUUUUAGGUCAGUUAUAUGUGAGUUUUAGGUCAGUUUUAGGUCAGUUUGGGGUCAGUUUUGGGUCAGUUAUAUGUGAGUUUUAGGUCAGUUUGGGGUCCGUUUUUGGUCAGUUAUAUGUGAGUUUUAGGUCAGUUUUAGGUCAGUUUUGGGUCAGUUAUAUGUGAGUUUUAGGUCAGUUUUUGGUCAGUUAUAUGUGAGUUUUAGGUCAGUUUUAGGUCAGUUUGGGAUCAGUUUUGGGUCAGUUAUAUGUGAGUUUUAGGUCAGUUUGGGGUCCGUUUUUGGUCAGUUAUAUGUGAGUUUUAGGUCAGUUUUGGGUCAGUUUUUGGUCAGUUAUAUGUGAGUUUUAGGUCAGUUUUUGGUCAGUUAUAUGUGAGUUUUAGGUCAGUUUUAGGUCAGUUAUAUGUGAGUUUUAGGUCAGUUUUGGGUCAGUUAUAUGUGAGUUUUAGGUCAGUUUUGGGUCAGUUUUUGGUCAGUUAUAUGUGAGUUUUAGGUCAGUUUUAGGUCAGUUAUAUGUGAGUUUUAGGUCAGUUUUUGGUCAGUUAUAUGUGAGUUUUAGGUCAGUUUUGGGUCAGUUAUAUGUGAGUUUUAGGUCAGUUUUGGGUCAG